rnacentral:rRNA from 1 species
UACAGAGGGGGGCAAGCGUUGUUCGGAAUUACUGGGCGUAAAGGGCGCGUAGGCGGCCCGCUAAGUCGAACGUGAAAUCCCCCGAGCCCAACUCGGGAACUGCGUCCGAUACUGGUGGGCUUGAAUCCGGGAGAGGGAUGCGGAAUUCCAGGUGUAGCGGUGAAAUGCGUAGAUAUCUGGAGGAACACCGGUGGCGAAGGCGGCGAUCUG